rnacentral:rRNA from 1 species
AGGACGAACGCUGGCGGCGUGCUUAACACAUGCAAGUCGAACGGAAAGGCCCUUUCGGGGGUGCUCGAGUGGCGAACGGGUGAGUAACACGUGGGUGAUCUGCCCUGCACUUUGGGAUAAGCCUGGGAAACUGGGUCUAAUACCGAAUACACCUUGCUGGCUGCAUGGCUGGUGGGGGAAAGCUUUUGCGGUGUGGGAUGGGCCCGCGGCCUAUCAGCUUGUUGGUGGGGUGAUGGCCUACCAAGGCGACGACGGGUAGCCGGCCUGAGAGGGUGUCCGGCCACACUGGGACUGAGAUACGGCCCAGACUCCUACGGGAGGCAGCAGUGGGGGAAUAUUGCACAAUGGGCGCAAGCCUGAUGCAGCGACGCCGCGUGAGGGAUGACGGCCUUCGGGUUGUAAACCUCUUUCAGUAUCGACGAAGCGCAAGUGACGGUAGGUACAGAAGAAGCACCGGCCAACUACGUGCCAGCAGCCGCGGU